rnacentral:rRNA from 1 species
AGUGAACGCUGGCGGUAGGCCUAACACAUGCAAGUCGAACGGCAGCACAGUAAGAGCUUGCUCUUACGGGUGGCGAGUGACGGACGGGUGAGGAAUACAUCGGAAUCUACUUUUUCGUGGGGGAUAACGUAGGGAAACUUACGCUAAUACCGCAUACGACCUACGGGUGAAAGCAGGGGAUCUUCGGACCUUGCGCGAUUGAAUGAGCCGAUGUCGGAUUAGCUAGUUGGCGGGGUAAGGGCCCACCAAGGCGACGAUCCGUAGCUGGUCUGAGAGGAUGAUCAGCCACACUGGAACUGAGACACGGUCCAGACUCCUACGGGAGGCAGCAGUGGGGAAUAUUGGACAAUGGGCGCAAGCCUGAUCCAGCCAUACCGCGUGGGUGAAGAAGGCCUUCGGGUUGUAAAGCCCUUUUGUUGGGAAAGAAAAGCAGCAGGUUAAUACCCCGCUGUUCUGACGGUACCCAAAGAAUAAGCACCGGCUAACUUCGU